AGUGAACGCUGGCGGUAGGCCUAACACAUGCAAGUCGAACGGCAGCACAGUAAGAGCUUGCUCUUACGGGUGGCGAGUGGCGGACGGGUGAGGAAUACAUCGGAAUCUACUUUUUCGUGGGGGAUAACGUAGGGAAACUUACGCUAAUACCGCAUACGACCUACGGGUGAAAGCAGGGGAUCUUCGGACCUUGCGCGAUUGAAUGAGCCGAUGUCGGAUUAGCUAGUUGGCGGGGUAAAGGCCCACCAAGGCGACGAUCCGUAGCUGGUCUGAGAGGAUGAUCAGCCACAAUGGAACUGAGGCACGGUCCAGAAUCCUACGGGAGGCAGCAGUGGGGAAUAUUGGACAAUGGGCGGAAGCCUGAUCCAGCCAUACCGCGUGGGUGAAGAAGGCCUUCGGGUUGUAAAGCCCUUUUGUUGGGAAAGAAAAGCAGCAGGUUAAUACCCCGCUGUUCUGACGGUACCCAAAGAAUAAGCACCGGCUAACUUCGUG
rnacentral:rRNA from 1 species